AAGACCUUGCACUUUUGGAGCGGCCGAUGUCUGAUUAGCUAGUUGGUGGGGUAAUGGCCUACCAAAGCUUCGAUCAGUAGCUGGUCUGAGAGGACGGCCAGCCACACUGGGACUGAGACACGGCCCAGACUCCUACGGGAGGCAGCAGUGGGGAAUUUUGGACAAUGGGCGCAAGCCUGAUCCAGCCAUGCCGCGUGAGUGAAGAAGGCCUUCGGGUUGUAAAGCUCUUUCAGCCGGGAAGAAAAGGUUGCGACUAAUAAUCGCAAUUCAUGACGGUACCGAAAGAAGAAGCACCGGCUAACUACGUGCCAGCAGCCGCGGUAAUACGUAGGGCGCGAGCGUUAAUCGGAAUUACUGGGCGUAAAGGGUGCGCAGGCGGUUUUGUAAGUCAGAUGUGAAAUCCCCGGGCUUAACCUGGGAACU
rnacentral:rRNA from 1 species